AGGCUUCCGUUAGCAUUAGUUAUCAUAGCUGAUCGUUCGUGACAGAAGUCUUUGGUAGCGCGCUUUUUUUAAGCUGAUAAUUGCAGCUUUCGAAGGAACUCAAAUUCAACAGUCAUCAGGCAUAUAAUCACAAGAUAUCAUGUAUUCAAACGCGCUGAUAACGUUCGCCAUUGUAGUCCUGUCGCCGUUUGUGAUAAACACACAGCAAACCAACAAAAAAUAUCGAUUGUGCGGAAAUGAUUUCGUCGAUGCUUAUUAUUCGUGCUGUAACCUUGGUUACCCGGCAUGCGCAAAUCAAGUACCUCAAGAAGCCUUUUUUCUUCACAAACGAAAAUUAAGAAAUCCCUUCAUGUCGUCGAGAGAAGCUAAGAAUUUCCUCGGUAAACUGAGAAAGCGAGAUCAAGUGGGCAACGAUUCACCUCUGACGACGCAGGCUGUUAAAGAAUGUUGCGUGAAAAAAUGUUCUUACAAAGAAGUCAGCGAGUACACGUGCCAUCGUUAGCUAGAACACUUCAUUAAUUAAUGCAUACUAAAUGAAACAUUCAUUUGCACGAGACUAGAUUAUGUUAUGUUAUUGCACUGUUAAACGUUUUGAGAAUGCAUUUAUACAAAUUACAUUCACUGGCGUAGCGA